rnacentral:rRNA from 1 species
AGCGAACGCUGGCGGCAGGCCUAACACAUGCAAGUCGAACGAACUCUUCGGAGUUAGUGGCGGACGGGUUAGUAACACGUUGGAACGUGCCUUUUGGUUCGGAAUAACUCAGGGAAACUUGUGCUAAUACCGAAUGUGACCUUCGGGGGAAAGAUUUAUCGCCAUUAGAGCGGCCCGCGUCUGAUUAGCUAGUUGGUGAGGUAACUGCUCAUCAAGGCGACGAUCAGUAGCUGGUCUGUGAGGAUGACCAGCCACACUGGGACUGAGACACGGCCCAGACUCUUACUGGAGGCAGCAAUGGGUAAUCUUGCGCAAUGGGCGAUAGCCUGACGCAGCCAUGCCGCGUGAAUGAUGUAGGUCUUAGGAUUGUAAAAUUCUUUCACCGGGGACGAUAAUGACGGUACCCGGAGAAGAAGCCCCGGCUAACUUCGUG